rnacentral:lncRNA from 1 species
CCCUCUCUGUUACUGGCCCUGGGCAUUUUGAAAUGUUCUAUGGAAGCUGAGGAGUUGUUGGCUUUCAAAAGGCUGGAGAGGAAUGAAAGUUUUGGAGAGGAGUGAAGGUUAGUUGAAGGGGGGGCAGCAUGUUUCAGGAGUAUCUUUCUUCCUUUUCCCCUUCCUUCCUUUCUCUCCUUUCUCCCUUUCUUUUCUCUCUCUCUCUCU